rnacentral:rRNA from 1 species
CCUACGGGAGGCAGCAGUAAGGAAUAUUGGUCAAUGGACGCAAGUCUGAACCAGCCAUGCCGCGUGAAGGAUUAAGGUCCUCUGGAUUGUAAACUUCUUUUAUCUGGGACGAAAAAAGGCGAUUCUUCGUCACUUGACGGUACCAGAUGAAUAAGCACCGGCUAACUCCGUGCCAGCAGCCGCGGUAAUACGGAGGGUGCAAGCGUUAUCCGGAUUCACUGGGUUUAAAGGGUGCGUAGGCGGGCAGGUAAGUCAGUGGUGAAAUCCUAGAGCUUAACUCUAGAACUGCCAUUGAUACUAUCUGUCUUGAAUAUUGUGGAGGUAAGCGGAAUAUGUCAUGUAGCGGUGAAAUGCUUAGAUAUGACAUAGAACACCUAUUGCGAAGGCAGCUUACUACGCAUAUAUUGACGCUGAGGCACGAAAGCGUGGGGAUCAAACAGGAUUAGAUACCCUGGUAGUCCACGCCCUAAACGAUGAUUACUCGACAUUUGUGAUANACUAUAAGUAGUNUGAGAGAAGACAUAAUUAAUACACCNCGGAGGUAACGACCGACGAGUAGUAACGUAACGAAAGAAAGUUAGUAGGACGNGAGAGAGCCGACGGACGACGACAGGGAGGGAGGGAG